GAGAAAUCAGACUGUUGCUGUGUCUAUGUAGAAAAAGGAAGACAUAAGAAACUCCAUUUUGAUCUGUACUAAGGAAAAUUCUUCUGCCUUGACAUGCUGUUAAUCUGUAACCCUAGCCCCAACCCUGUGCUCGCAGAAAACCUGUGCUGUAUUGACUCAAGGUUUAAUGGAUUUAGGGCUGUGCAGGGUGUGCUUUGUUAAAAAUGUGUUUGUAGGCAGUAUGCUUGGUGAAAGUCAUUGCCAUUCUCCAGUCUCGAGUACCCAGGGACACAAUGCACUGUGGAAGGCCGCAGGGACCUCUGCCCAAGAAAGCCUGGGUAUUGUCCAAGGGUUCCCCCCACUGAGAGAGACAGCCUGAGACAUGGCCUUGUGGGAAGGGACCUGACCUGACCGUCCCCAAGGCUGAUUCCCAUAAAGGGUCUGUGCUGAGGAGGAUUAGUGAAAGAGGAAGGCCUCUUUGCAGUUGAGAUAAGAGGAAGGCAUCUGUCUCCUGCUCAUCCCUGGGAAUGGAAUGUCUCGGUGUAAAACCCGAUCAUACAUUCUAUUUACUGAGAUAGGAGAAAGCCGCCUUAUGGCUGGAGGUGAGACAUGCUGGUGGUAAUACUGCUGUUUACUGCACUGAGAUGUUUGUGUAAAGUCAAACAUAAAUCUGGCCUAUGUGCACAUCCAGGCACAGCACCUUUCCUUAAACUUAUUUAUGACACAGAGUCCUUUGCUCACAUGUUUUCCUGCUGACCCUCUCCCCACCAUUACCCUAUAGUCCUGCCACAUCCCCCUCACUGAGAUGAUAGAGAUAGUGAUCAAUAAAUACUGAGGGAACUCAGAGACCAGAGCCGGCACAGGUCCUCUGUAUGCUGAGCACUGGUCCCUUGGGCCCACUGUUCUUUCUCUAUACUUUGUCUCUGUGUCUUAUUUCUUUUCUCAGUCUCUCGUCCCACCUGAUGAGAAAUACCCACAGGUGUGGAGGGGCUGGCCCCCUUCAACCUCAAGCUCCCUUUUCAUUACAGGACCUUAGGCAAACAAAGGAAGACUUAUGCUAAUUUUCUGAUAACCCCAAUAGGUAUAUAGAAGCUGUCCAGAAUUUAACUCAGGUGUUUCACCUCACAUGGAAGGAUGUUAUGCUGCUCCUAAACCAAACUCUAACCGCAGUUGAAAAGCAGGCAGCUCUGCAGGCAGCAGAUAAUUUUGGAGAUGAGCAACAUAUCUCCUAUAAUACACCAAAAGGGAAGAAAAGAGAUAGGGAAAGUGAAAAAAAUAACAGAAACACCAUUCCCAGUAGGAAGGGAAGCAGUUCCUCUCGACAACCCCAACUGGGACCCCAGUAGCUCUGCAAAUGAAUAGAAAUGGAAGCAUUUUUAAAAUAUGCAUAUUAGAGGGUCUAUGAAGAACUAAGGCCUGACCUCUUAAUUCCUCUCAACUGUCUAUGAUAGACCAAAAGCCAGAUGGGAAUCCUGCAGCUUUUAUGGAAAGGCUGAGAGAGGCACUAAUAGAGCACACUUCCUUAGCCCCUAAUUCAGUCAAGGGAUGGCUCAUUGUAAAGACAAGUUUAUUACACAGGCAGCUCUUGAUAUUAGAAGGAAACUGUAGAAGCACGCUAUAGGACCAGAUAGCACCUUGGGGAACCUCCUGAGGGUGGCCACUUAUAAUAGGGACCAGGAGGAGGCCCCCCAGAAAGAGAGAAAGCUCAGGAGAAAGACAGAGGCUCUAGUAGCAGCUUUGCAAGCUUGCAAAGUCCAAGAUUUCUGAGGUGCAUCCGCUAGUUGCUAUCAGUGUGGCAAGCCAGGGCAUUUUAAAAAGGAGUGCCCAAACAGCAAGAGGAAGCCACCUCAACCCUAUCCAGCCUGUGGUGGAGACCACUGGAAAUCAAACUGCCCCCGGAGACGGAGGUCACUGGAGUCAGAACCAGUCUCACAGAUGGUCCAGCAGGACUGAUGGGUCCUGGGGCUCAAACCCCAGCUCCAGUGGCUCAAACUGCCAUUACAGCACGGGAGCCACCAGGUGAUUCUGGAAAUUGAAGGAAGGAAACUAGACCUCCUUCUAAACACUCGAGCCAGUCUCUCUCUCUUUUCUCCUCUUUAAUCCAGGCCUCUCUUCUUCCCAUAGCGUGAGUGUAAGGGGUGUCUCAGGAAAAACUCUAUUCCAAUAUUUUUCUCAACCUCCUAAUUGCAGUUAGGAGGACCUAUUGUUUACACAUGCUUCCAAGCCAUUGCCACGGUGGCUCUACUAGUCAAAAAAGCCUCCAAAUUAACCCUAGGAAAUAAUUUAACUGUUUACACCCCACAUAAUGUAGCAGGAUUACUGUCCUCUAGGGGAGACUUUAGCUAACAAACAGCAGGUAAAGCAAGAAAUACAUAAGGCAGGACAAGCAAUAGUCACUCUAAUGUCUCUCCCCAGACACAAGCACUCAAUUAGCUGAACUAAUAGUUCUUGCAAGUGCACUUAAAUUAAGCAGGGGAAAGAUAGCUAACAUUUCCACUGACUCCAAGUAUGCUUUCUUAGUUCUCCAUGCUCAUGCUGCUAUUUAAAAGGAAAGACAUUCUUUUACCACUAAAGCAUCUCCUAUAAAAUAUCACCAGGAAAUUAACAGGUUAUUAUCCUCAGUUUUCCUUUCACGAAAAAUAGCAGUAAUGUAUUAUAGGGAACAUCAAAGAGGAACAGAUGAAGUAGCCAAAGGAAAUAGGUUAGCUGAGCAGGGAGCUAAGCAGGCGGCAGGGAAGCCUCAAGGCAUUAACACACUUCAAGCCCUUUUAAUCUCGGAAGCCUCCAUAAAAGAAAUUAAACCUCAGUAUUCCCCUGCAGAAAUAAAAUAAGCCACUUCUUAAGGGUAUUCCAGCCCUGAGGAUGACAAACUCCAUUUACUGGCCUCCAGUCAAUGGAAAGUCCUUAAAAUCCUUCACCAAGCUUUUUCACAUAGGAAAGGAUAAAACUUAUCAUCAGUGUGCUCAGAGAUUGUUUUCAGGCAGAAAACCUCUAAGUUGUUUAAAAAUGUAACCUCUCUAGCUCACUUCCAACAGAAAUUGACACAACUAGCCAAAGGCCAACCCCAGGAAAUUGGACCACCAGAAAAUUUGGUAUUGGUGAAAACUCAUCUCUCUCUCCUUCCCUAAGCCAGGCUGGGAAGGGCCCUACACAAUUCUUCUUUCAACCCCCCCAGCAGUAAAAGUUACAAGUAUCAACCUCUGAAUAUAUCACACUCAAGUCAAAGCCUGAAAAGCUGAGGGAGCAACCUUUGACAGCCCAGAGGAACAUCCUGAAUAUCAAUGUGGAGAUAUAGAAGAUCUUAAGCUGAAAAUCAUAAAAGCAAUCAAACUUCAAAUGGUGCUGCAAACAAAGCCACACAUGGACAUGCCAUUCUUCCAAGAAGCCUUAGAUCAACCUCAGGAGGAGCCCCAACUGCAGCCCCCCGACACGACGCCCCUUUUCAGCAGGAAGUAGCCAGAAAGAAUCGUCGUCCAACACCCCCUAACAGCAGUUAUGGUUACGUCUCCUGAGGGAGGAAAUAAUACAGGAGUUAUUAAGAAAUUAUUUUUAGGCAGCUAGAAAGGGUAAAAAUUCUCAGUGGAAUUUUCCUUUAAUAAAAAGCAGCCCCAAACCAUUUCUUCUCUAACAGGAAGCAGCCUGAAAACUCAGGCAUAGAUAUGCAAACUAGAAGCUUUUAUAUGUAAAUGCUGGCAGCUGUACCUGGAAGUCAGGUACAUCCAAUAUGGCGGUUCCCACUCUCUUUUCCUUGUCACCACGUUUACAGGUGUCAUGGCAGCCUCCAGGUAAAACCACAUGUACAGGUAUCCUGUCCACCACCAGUUGGAGACCGUAUUUGAAUAAUAAAAGACUAGGGUGGGAGAGUCAGUCUUUUCGUGGGCUAUGUAAAUGACACAACUGGUCAAACCAAUUCCCUGAGCGCUGUGUAAAUCAAUCACCGCCUCCUCAACCUCUGUACAAAACCGACUGCAUUCCACCACAAACCGCAGACCCUCUUUUGGGCAACCCACUUUCUCAGCAUGAGGAAGGAUUUUUUCUCUCUUUUCUUUUCUAUUAAACUUUCCACUCCCAA
rnacentral:lncRNA from 1 species